rnacentral:rRNA from 1 species
AGUCGAACGGACUUAACCGAAAUAUUUAUAUUUUGGAGUGGUUAGUGGCGGACUGGUGAGUAACGCGUAAGCAAUCUGCCUAUUAGAGGGGAAUAACAGUGAGAAAUCACUGCUAAUACCGCAUAUGCCAUGAACAUCGCAUGAUGAAAAUGGGAAAGGAGUAAUCCGCUAAUAGAUGAGCUUGCGUCUGAUUAACUAGUUGGUGUGGUAAUGGCAUACCAAGGUAACGAUCAGUAGCCGGACUGAGAGGUUGAACGGCCACAUUGGGACUGAGAUACGGCCCAGACUCCUACGGGAGGCAGCAGUCGGGAAUAUUGCGCAAUGGAGGGAACUCUGACGCAGUGACGCCGCGUAUAGGAUGAAGGUUUUCGGAUUGUAAACUAUUGUCAUUAGGGAAGAUAAAAGACAGUACCUAAGGAGGAAGCUCCGGCUAACUACGUGCCAGCAGCCGCGGUAAUACGUAGGGAGCAAGCGUUAUCCGGAUUUAUUGGGUGUAAAGGGUGCGUAGACGGGAAAUUAAGUUAGUUGUGAAAGCCCUCGGCUUAACUGAGGAAUUGCAACUAAAACUGGUUUUCUUGAGUGCAGGAGAGGUAAGUGGAAUUCCUAGUGUAGCGGUGAAAUGCGUAGAUAUUAGGAGGAACACCAGUGG